ACGGCGGCGGAUUGAGGGCUUGCCCGGGCCCAGGCUCGGCUCGCGCGUGCGGCGCGGCGGCUUCUACGCGGCCCUCCUUCCCACGCCACCUGCUCCUGCCCCGCGCCUUCCUCCCGCGCCUCUUGCCCUGCUCUCUGGGCUCCGCAGCGGGCCUGCCUCCUCCGAGGCAACCAACGCUCGUCUCUCCCUGUCAGUGAAAUUGUCUAAGACGCCUUAUCUCUGGCCAUUGCUGUGUGACAAACACCCAGAUUAUAAAUUAAUGGCCUUCAUAGGCGAAUCACCCAGUGCUGCCAAUAUUGCUUCAGAGUGACUACAAGAGAAACUUGAUUCUGUUAAAGAUCCAGUUACAGAGGAGAACGUCAAAGCCGAUGAGGCAUGCAUAUUGCUCAAGCCAACCCUGCCUUUUAAACCCUUCGUUGAGCUCAGUCCUAGUGAAUGAAUAUGAUAACUGAAGGGAUCCAGCUGCUUCCCUUAACCAUGCAUGAUUCCUGGUACUUGUGCUGGACACUUUGGAGCCUUCCCAUCUGGUGCCCUGGAACUGUUGGAGCCUUGGACUGGGAGUUUGAGGCAGUUCAUCCCCACCUACUCAACACAAGAGGGUGAGAGCCCCUCUUCCUGUUGGGGCAGCAUU